UACGUAGGGGGCAAGCGUUGUCCGGAAUCAUUGGGCGUAAAGCGCACGUAGGCGGCCCAGCAAGUCGGGUGUGAAAGCCCUCGGCUUAACCGAGGAAGUGCAUUCCGAAACUACUGAGCUUGAAUACUGGAGAGGAUCGCGGAAUUCCCGGUGUAGAGGUGAAAUUCGUAGAUAUCGGGAGGAACACCAAUGGCGAAAGCAGCUUUCUGGGACGGUACUGACGGCUGA
rnacentral:rRNA from 1 species